rnacentral:misc_RNA from 1 species
GAUGAAGAACGUAGCGAAAUGCGAUAAGUAGUGUGAAUUGCAGAAUUCAGUGAAUCAUCGAAUCUUUGAACGCACAUUGCGCCCCUUGGUAUUCCAUGGGGCAUGUCUGUUCGAGCGUCAUUUGUACCUUCAAGCUUUGCUUGGUGUUGGGUGUUUGUCUCGCCUCUGCGUGUAGACUCGCCUUAAAACAAUUGGCAGCCGGCGUAUUGAUUUCGGAGCGCAGUACAUCUCGCGCUUUGCACUCAUAACGACGACGUCCAAAAGUACAUUUUUACACUCUUGACCUCGGAUCAGGUAGGGAUACCCGCUGAACUUAAGCAUAUCAAUAAGCGGAGGA